UACGGGGGGAGCAAGCGUUGUUCGGAUUUACUGGGCGUAAAGAGCGCGCAGGCGGUCGGUCAAGUCGCGUGUGAAAGCCCCCGGCUCAACUGGGGAGGGUCACGCGAUACUGAUCGACUCGAAGGCAGGAGAGGGUAGUGGAAUUCCCGGUGUAGUGGUGAAAUGCGUAGAUAUCGGGAGGAACACCAGUGGCGAAGGCGACUACCUGGCCUGUUCUUGACGCUGAGGCGCGAAAGCUAGGGGAGCAAACGGG
rnacentral:rRNA from 1 species